rnacentral:snoRNA from 1 species
UUCGACACAAUGAGGAGAUUUUUAAAUGUAAAAUGAGAUCGAAAGAUCUAUGAAACCUAUCAAGCAUAAGUCCUUUUCAUUCUGAGUGUCGA